rnacentral:rRNA from 1 species
UACGGAAGGCAGCAGUGGGGAAUAUUGCACAAUGGGCGCAAGCCUGAUGCAGCCAUGCCGCGUGUAUGAAGAAGGCCUUCGGGUUGUAAAGUACUUUCAGUCGUGAGGAAGGUGUUAAGGUUAAUAACCUUAGCAAUUGACGUUAGCGACAGAAGAAGCACCGGCUAACUCCGUGCCAGCAGCCGCGGUAAUACGGAGGGUGCGAGCGUUAAUCGGAAUUACUGGGCGUAAAGGGCACGCAGGCGGUUAAUUAAGUUGGAUGUGAAAUCCCCGGGCUUAACCUGGGAAUGGCAUUCAAGACUGGUUAGCUAGAGUCUUGUAGAGGGGGUAGAAUUCCAUGUGUAGCGGUGAAAUGCGUAGAGAUGUGGAGGAAUCCGGUGGCGAAGGCGGCCCCUGGACAAAGACUGACGCUCAUGUGCGAAAGCGUGGGGAGCAAACGAGGGAUUAGAUACC